AUUGAACGUUGGCGGCAGGCCUAACACAUGCAAGCCGAGCGGUAUUUCUUCUUCGGGAGAGAGAGAGCGGCGUACGGGUGCGGAACACGUGUGCAACCUGCCUUUAUCUAGAGGAUAGCCUUUCGAAAGGAAGAUUAAUACUCUAUAAUAUAUUAAUUGGCAUCAAUUGAUAUUGAAAACUCCGGUGGAUAGAGAUGGGAACGCGCAAGAUUAGCUAGUUGGUGAGGUAACGGCUCACCAAGGCAAUGAUCUUUAGGGGGCCUGAGAGGGUGAUCCCCCAAACUGGUACUGAGACACGGACCAGACUCCUACGGGAGGCAGCAGUGAGGAAUAUUGGUCAAUGGGUGCAAGCCUGAACCAGCCAUCCCGCGUGAAGGAUUAAGGUCCUAUGGAUUGUAAACUUCUUUUGUAUAGGGAUAAACCUACCCUCGUGAGGGUAGCUGAAGGUACUAUACGGAUAAGCACCGGCUAACUCCGUGCCAGCAGCCGCCGUAAUAC
rnacentral:rRNA from 1 species